UGCCCUGCCCUGCCUGGAGAUAUGAUGCAUGCAUCUCACUCACUCGAGGCAUGGCAUGGCAUACAUCUCUCUCUAGUCUAUCCUCCUUCAGUGUCGCCAAUAAAUGCCCCCAACCUCCCGUCCCGCGUCGUCGCCUACUCGCUGCUUCAUUCAUCCAUCCAUCCAUUCAUCCAUUGAUGCGCUCAUCGCCGUCCGGUCGCUGCCCUGCUGCUGCUGCUGCUUCUUCUUCUUCUUCUUCUUCUUCUUCACGCCUCACUCUGUCGCUUCUUCCUCUGCAGCGUACGUGCUGGUGCUGCAAAAGGAAAGGAGCCGCGGCUCCAUCCAUCCAUCCAUCCAUCCAUGCAAGUCGUCUUCCUGCCGACCGGCCUGCCUGCCUCUAGUACAUUCGGGAUCGAUCGAGGUGGGUGGCUAACUAAAGCUAAUUAAUGGCGAUAUCCUCGUGCGUGCAUGCACGCAAUGGCCGCGAGCUAGACGGGGUAUUGACGCGGUUCAAUUCGAGAGCUCGAGCCCUAGCAGAGGCCAGGGGGGGUGGGGCUCUGCUCUCUGAUUGAGCCGUGCCAAUAUCACGUCCCACUCGCCCUCGCGCGCGGACGUUGCCGCCGCGGUGUCCGUCCGUAUCACAUCCGUUAGUUCUUUGCCUCGCUGAACUCUGCAUUAAUUAAUGUGCGUAUAUUAUAUCCUCAACAAUUUCCCCUCUUUUUACUGAUGACGUGUUCCAGUCAAUGUGAAUGAAUGGAAAAUGGACGUGUUUACUGAUGAUCGAUAUGAGCUGACAAGUUAUUCUGGGAACCUUUUAUUAGUAGAAGCAAAUCAAUGGUCACACGCAACGCCAUGUCUGGAAACCAGCAAAGGAAAGCUAGCUGGUCAUAAACCGUUCGUACGUGCGAGGGCAACUGAUGGCCACUGCAAAGCUUUGUGUGUGUGUGUGUGUAAUUGGAGUUACCACAGAGAGAGCGUCCAACCAAAAGGACAAUUGUGAUAAGCUCUCACGCAUGCCACCUACCCCCGCGUUUACAUGAUCUCCCAUUUCAGUCUCAUUCUAGUAAUGGUUGAUGCCAAGUCCUUAUACAUGAGCAUGAGCAUGUUUGGAUCGUAACAUCCCAUUUCAAUCUCAUUCUAAUAAAUGAUCAAUGCGGGGUGCUUAUACAUGAUCAUGAGAGCAUGUGUUGGAUCCGCUGGACUAGUUGUAGCCCAACCAAAGUGUAGGUGACUAAAACUUAAAUAGUCCUAUGUUGUUU